rnacentral:rRNA from 1 species
GACGAACGCUGGCGGCGUGCUUAACACAUGCAAGUCGAACGGAAAGGCCCUGCUUUUGUGGGGUGCUCGAGUGGCGAACGGGUGAGUAACACGUGAGUAACCUGCCCUUGACUUUGGGAUAACUUCAGGAAACUGGGGCUAAUACCGGAUAGGAGCUCCUGCUGCAUGGUGGGGGUUGGAAAGUUUCGGCGGUUGGGGAUGGACUCGCGGCUUAUCAGCUUGUUGGUGGGGUAGUGGCUUACCAAGGCUUUGACGGGUAGCCGGCCUGAGAGGGUGACCGGCCACAUUGGGACUGAGAGACGGCCCAGACUCCUACGGGAGGCAGCAGUGGGGAAUAUUGCACAAUGGGCGGAAGCCUGAUGCAGCAACGCCGCGUGCGGGAUGACGGCCUUCGGGUUGUAAACCGCUUUCGCCUAUGACGAAGCGUGAGUGACGGUAAUGGGUAAAGAAGCACCGGCUAACUACGUG